CCCNAUCUCGUUUGAUCUCGGAAGCUAAGAUAGGUUGGGCCUGGUUAGUACUUGGAUGGGAGACCGCCUGGGAAUACCUGGUGCUGUAAGCUU
rnacentral:rRNA from 1 species